GAUGAACGUUGGCGGUGUGCCUAAUACAUGCAAGUCGAACGGAGACUGUAGCAAUACUGUCUUAGUGGCGAACGGGUGAGUAACGCGUUGGUGAUCUGCCUCGAAGUGUGGAAUAACCUCCCGAAAGGGAAGCUAAUACCGCAUAGUCUCUCAAGGUUUAGAAAAUUGAGAGUAAAGGAUUUAUUCGCUUCGAGAGGAGCCUGCGUCCCAUCAGCUAGUUGGUAGGGUAACGGCCUACCAAGGCGAUGACGGGUAGGGGACCUGAGAGGGUGGCCCCCCACAAUGGAACUGAAACACGGUCCAUACACCUACGGGUGGCAGCAGUAGGGAAUAUUGGUAAUCUGGGAAACCGGGAACCAGCAACGCCGCGUGCGCGAUGAAGGCCUUCGGUUGUAAGCGCUUUUAAAGGGAUGAGGAAGGACAGUACCUUUAGAAUAAGCCUCGGCUAACUCCGUG
rnacentral:rRNA from 1 species